GCUGGGCAUGGUGGCUCAUGCUUGUAAUCCCAGCAGCUCAGGAGGCUGAGGCAAGAGGAUUAUGAGUUCAAAUCCAGCCUCAG
rnacentral:sRNA from 1 species